CGUGUGUGUGUGUGAAUCGAUGAGAUACGUGCUUGAUUGGGUCUCCCUUGUUGUAAUAAUGUACAUCAGAAGGAGGGGACGGGCUCAGCUGCUCCCAUGCAGGCUGUGCAGCGCAGGGAUCUGGCGAGCUAUUUGCCAAGCACUUUCUUGGCUGCUCAUAGUACUUUUCCCCCUUUUUCUCUUUGUGGGGCUUGAUAGGGGGCUAUUUAAAAACAGCGACAGCAAAUCAGAUGCGGCCAAGCAAAAGGCGUUUACUUCGCCUCCAGUGGCUCGAGGUGCAAAAAUCCUCCACAAGCACUGUUUUCCUUUUAAACUAACACCGCGUGGAAUAAAGUGUAGUUUUCUUGGGUGAACCUCGGGAACAUUUGCGGUGGUGGAAACAGGGGAUGAUUCGAGGAAGGUGGAAAUGCAGAUCAAUUGGGAAAUAGCGUCUGCAGGAGGCCUCAUCUGGUGACAUCUUCAUACAUGAUGCUCUCUGCUCUCAAAACACCAGCGACUCCUUGGGAUCAGCGUGCAGGUGAUCGCAGCGAGUGGCAGAGAGAGAAAUCGACCCAGCCCACAGUCCUAUUGCUCUUAUCGAGACACACUUUAGCAGCCUACCCUGAGCAACCUGAAGACACUGCGUUCAGCUACUCAACACAUGAAAACAUUUAAUAAAAUACAGAGCAUUUACCCACCAUGAAAAACAGUGUGUGUAAUUACCCUCCUAGGAAUUUUUGCAUAUUAGUAAAAAAGAAGUUAUGAUAAGUACCUUUUUUUCUCUGCUUUCUGUUCCUACAACCAGACCUGUUUUACAUGAAGGAUCAGGGAUGUCAGUAAGAAUGAGGCGCCUGCUCUUAAUCAUCGGGACAAAUACACCAUUAACUACACCAUUCAUUCUCCUGAAUCUGCAUUGAGUAUGGUAAACUCUGCUCAUUACCCAAGCAGAUGCUUUAAAAGCCAGACUGGAUGGGAUCAAAGGCCAGAGAGGGAGCGAGAGAGACGGGCUCUCUGGCUCCCACUGCUUCAGCUCAUUUUCAUUAUCCUACACACCGACCGAAAUAGCGAUCACAUUAUGCAUUAACGCUUUUAAAAGCUUCUCUCGUUCUCUGCCGGCCUCUUGAACACCGCUAAAUAUUGGAAGAGUUUCGUUGUGUUCCCAAAAUGACUCAGGAAGCCGGUCAACAGCCCAGCAGGGAUCCAGCGGUAGCAUCGCUUGAUUUGAUCUUUAGACAUAGACCUAUCACGACCCAGUAGGACGGCAAUAAAGAAGAGUUAAGGCAUGUGUGAGCGUACACACAAGCACACGUACAUAUGGAGAACACUUUAAGGAGCACAUCGUAUGCUUGUGUCAGGGAAAAAAUGAGAGAUAAAUGUGUGUGUGUGUGUGUGUGUGUGUGUGUGUGUGUGUGUGUGUGUGUGUGUGUGUGUGUGUGUGUGUGUGUGUGUGUGUGUGUGUGUGUGUGUGUGUGUGUGUCUAUGUAUCUGAGAGAGAAAGGGAGAGAGAGAAAAAUAGAGCAACAAUUUGUGGGAGAAAGUGUGUGCACACAUGCAAAAACGGUGUCUGUGUGUGUGUUUGUGUGUGUUUGUUUGUGUGCGUGUAAAGGCAUGCACUUGUGACUGUUUCUGCAUGUGCAAGUGUGUGCACAUGGUUGUGUGUGUAGAAAAGAGCGAAUAGUAAUAGAUAUUUACAUCCUCCCAAACAAGAAAGACUGCUGAAUCCUUUCGUCCCCGGAGCAGAGGAGAGGAUAGGGAGGUAGAGAGAGAGCAGUAAAGAGAUGUAGAGAGAGAGAGAGGUAGAGAGAGUGCAGUAAAGAGAGGUGGAGAGAGAGAGAGGUAGAGAGAGAGAGAGGUAGAGAGAGCACUAGAGAGAGAGGCAUAGAGUACAGCAGAGAGAGCAGUAGAGAGAGAAAGGUAGAAAGAGAGCAGUAGAGAGAGAGAGUUAGAGAGAGCCGUAAAGAGAGAGCAAAAGAGAGAGAGUGGUAGAAAGAGAGCAAGAGAGAGAGAGAGAGAGAGAGAGAGAGAGAGAGAGAGAGAGAGAGAGAGAGAGAGAGAGAGAGAGAGAGAGAGAGAGAGAGAGAGAGAGAGAGAGAGAGAGGGAGAGAGAAAGAGA
ensembl:lncRNA